GCUGGUGUAGCUCAGUUGGCUAGAGCAGCUGAUUUGUAAUCAGCAGGUCGGGGGUUCGACUCCCUUCACCAGCU
rfam:Arcobacter cryaerophilus strain AZT-1 contig140, whole genome shotgun sequence.